rnacentral:lncRNA from 1 species
AAACUAACUGAGGUUUUGACAGAUGAUUUUGUUGCAGGGGGAGGUACAAAGUAGAGUCAAACCUUGAAGGUGUUGGGAGAGAAUGGGACCAGGAGAGGACAAAUAGUGUCACUUCUCUGGCAGCUGCUAGUAGAAAUGACAAUGUACCUCUUGACUUAUGGAAGCACUCCCUGAAGAGAAGCCAGGCUUUCAUACGAACAGCUUGAAGGGAAUCAGGCCCUAAGUACUAGGCUUCAGCAGAUGCCUGUGUUUUAAAUGUACCCCUUGAUUUUUAUUUGCAGUUUCCAACUUCAGAGCUAAAACAGCAACUACUUUAAUGUUAGUAACUUUGAGUAGAAGCACUUAAGUUCUGCCCCACGCUUGGACAUUGGGUAAAACCAAGCCUUCUUUGCAUAUGUGUUGAGGACAUAUGAGUAUGUAUGUUUGUGAGUGCAAACGUACAAAAAUAACUGAGAUUAAAAUUUGGACCAGUCUCAAAGGAAGGACAUUCGGUUAUAUUUGCUUUCAAUGAGACAGUAAAAUGUGACUUUUUUUGCAUACUUGACUUUGCAUAUACAAAAAUACUGUAUGAUAAAAUAAUAGUUUUGAAUAAAGUUAAGAAGCUGAAGAGCUGCAUAUCUGAAUGCCAAAGACAGAUGUGUUUGGUACACAAAAAUAAUUGCAGAUGAAAAUAAAAUAGUUUACUUUUUCUGGCAGAGAGGGUUGGAAGGAAUAAAAACAGAUACAUAUUUCCUUCUAUUCUAUAUUCCACUUAAGUUUGUGUGAUUACUUUCAUCUCAACUAAUUUAUGUUUAUCCUUCGUCUCCCGAAUUCCUGAAAGCAUGAUCCACUGCAAUUCCCGGUACUUAGCCCUGCCCUGUUCCAUCUUUGUUUCAGAUAUUACUCUGCCCCUUCCUUUUAAAUAAGUGAAAUAACAGAAUAUUGGUGUCUUGGGAGAAGGAAUUUUUUUUUUAAGUCUCCAGAAGGUUGUAAAUGUGGAAAUAAAGUACUCUAUCACAGGACUAUAUAUACUUGUAUAUGAAUUUUAAUUUUAGGAGUUGUUAGCUGUUUGGUUUUUUCUUAUUCCAUCCCUACUUAUUUCUCCUUACACAAUCUGAAAUGCUUUGCUUUUCAGUACCAUCUGACAUACAUCAUUUAUUUAAUUUACUCAAGUGCUUGUUUAUUGGCUGUCUGUACCCACAAAAAUAAAGUUACAGUGGCAGCAAUAUUUGUGUUUUCAUGAAAAUAUACAAUGCUGCACCCUCCCUUUCCCCAGCACUAGAAGAGUAUCCACCAAUUGAUGCUCAAUAUUUGUUAAUUGAAUGAAUGAAGGAAUAUCUUAGAUUCACACUUUAUCAUCGGUAAACUGCAGAUGGUAAAAUGAGUUUCACAAGUUAAUUAUGAAAAUUAGAAUAUAUAUAUUAAAUAUAAAGUGAUGAUAAAGUAUCUUUUGGUGUUCCAAGUUGAUAGAUAGUAUUUUUGUUGUUGUUUUUAAAGUAAAAGAAAUAGUCAUAUAGAAGAAACAGAAAGGCCUCUAAUAUAGAGAAGAGAUAGGGUAGAAUAGUUUUAUGGGGAAAGGUAAUGGAACAUAAAGGGAUUUGAUUUUGGAGGAAGGAUUAUUAAUAGACUGGCAACAUAGCUUGUAUGCACAACCCAUACUGUUGUGUACAGUAGAAUUUUCUGUGAGGGUACAAAUAUUCUGUGUCCGUGCUGUUCAGUGCAGUAGCUGUUAAUCCAUCUAUGGCUAUAGAGUGCAUGAAAGGAGAAUAGUACGACUAAGAAACUGAAGUUUUAAUUUUUUUUUUUUGUUUAAUUUUCAUUUAAACUCACACGGUCACAUGUGGCAGUAGCUAUUUUAUGACAGAGCAGAUCUUGAGCAAUGGCUCCCCAAACUAAAUGGACUUAACGAAGCCUAGCUUAAGAACACCCAUUAAAAUGCAGAUUUUCAUGCUUUACCUCUGAAUUCAUUUGCACUAGACCUGAGGGUGAGGCCCAGGACUCCACAUUUUAAGGAAUCAAUUUUGGAUUAUUUAUGUAGGUUAUCUUUCGAUUUUGCCUCUGUGCCAGUUCCUGGAGGUCUAUUUCUGUCAUUCCCUCUGUCUUUGCUUGUACUGUGUCCCCCAGUCUUUAAAAUAUAUGUCACAUUAAAUGUUACCAGUGGUUUCAUCCCAUCGGUCCAAAAACAAAAAAUCAUAUCUAGGAAGCAGAGUUGCUCCCUUCAUUCUCUUUGAAGUUAAUUUUAAGUAAAGGCUGAUUUAUAAUUCCAUUCUCAUCAUUCACCUCUAAAUUUAAUCCUCCUUAUUCUUCCAGAGAGUCAAGGCUUUAUUAUAAGCGGGAUGAAGAAUCCUGGUAGUUUUGCAUCAUUUAGACUAAAUUCAGUAAUGCCCAUUGUUCAGAUAUUUACAAUUGUAUCCCCAAACACCUCUGAAGACAAUAAAAUUUUCAACUCUGGGGACUUGAGAGGUCCUACACUUUCAUUUUACUGAUUUAAAAAAAUGAUAACCAAAAAGUCAAGGCUGAAGAGCUAAUCAUUACUGUUUCCUUUUUUCCACAUAUCCAAUCUUUGGAGGCCAAAGGCAAAUGGUCAAAGAUUAAUGAUGAUUAACAUUUAUUGACCACUUCUUUUUCAGAAGAGGAUUAUAUGUGGAAAUUUAAUGAGUAAAGAGGUUGUUUCCAUCACCUUUGUGAUGUAGUUGCAAUACCCAGGAUAUAUAGGUAUAUCGGUUACUCUGCUUUUGGCUAGAAGGGAAAAAAAACUGUCUGAAAACUUGAAAAUGGCUUCUUCAUAAAGGCAGCUUAGGAGUUCCCGUCGUGGCGCAGUGGUUAACGAAUCUGACUAGGAACCAUGAGGUUGCGGGUUCGGUCCCUGCCCUUGCUCAGUGGGUUAACCAUCCGGCGUUGCCGUGAGCUGUGGUGUAGGUUGCAGACGCGGCUCGGAUCCUGCGUUGCUGUGGCUCUGGCGUAGGCCGGUGGCUACAGCUCCGAUUCGACCCCUAGCCUGGGAACUUCCAUAUGCCGCGGGAGCGGCCCAAGAAAUAGCAACAACAACAACAACAAAAGACAAAAAGACAAAAAAUAAAAUAAAAUAAAAAAUAAAGGCAGCUUAUUAUUUACAAAUUGAGAAGUCUGGAGAGAGACAGUUGCCGCAUCAGUUCAAUGGCUCAGGAAUGCCAUCAAGGUUCCAAUGUUCUGGCUUUGUCUCUAGUAGGCUCUGCAUUUCGAUGGUCUAGUCUCAGUCGUACAAACUCUUGGUGACAGGAUGGUUGCCCCAGAUUCAUAAACAUGUCCUCCAAAGAAAGGAAAGGAAAAAGGUAGACUAUUUCUUAGAGUUAUACCGUUAUUAGGGAAAUAAAUCUUCUACACAAGCCUGCAGCAGACUUUUGUAUGUUUCAUUGGCCAGAUUUUUGAUGCCUGAUGACUCUUAACUGCAGAAGAGAUUAAUAAAUAAAGGGUCCUACCUUUCAGUCUCUGUGAUGGAAUCAAUAUCUUUCAGAAAGGAAAAAAGUGAAGGAAAACAGCCAUGGUUAGGCAAGCAUUUUCUACCAGAAGGGAAUAUGGUCUUGCUACGGAUAUAUUAAAUUUUUACAGGAACUUAAAAGAUGAUUAUGAAGACAUUUCCAUUUUGGAGAUUAGUGUAGAAGACUUUUGACCCAAUGGUUGUCAACUUAGAAAUUCUUCCCUUCCUUAGAGUAUGGAGGAAAUAAAACAACCAUCUGACAAGAAGAAUGAGCAAUAAGACAGAGGAGUCCUGAAGUUAAAUAAAACACAGCUCUAACAUUUUUUUCCCAGAAAAGAUUUUGGGGAGGGAGUAUAGAAUAAAUUGUUUAUAGCUCUCACUCUUAUAUUGAGCUGCCAUUGAAUAAGAUAAAUAGUCUACUAGUGUGUGAUGCAGAGAAACAGUGUGAAUCAAAGCAGGCAAUGUUAUUGCUUUCCAAGGCAGUGGUUUGCCUAAAUGGAGAGUACUAUGUCUGGUAUUUGUCACUAUUUCUUAGAAAGGGUAUAAUUUCUCUUGAAGGACUAUUACACUAAGUCACUUAAUGAUACCAAGCUUCUAAGAUUUAAGAUGUAAAGGAAGAAUGUUAAAAGUUGUGCAUUUGUUCACUGGGAGGUAAAAGGGAGUUUAAAUUCCUAUUUAGCCUUGGCAAUUUCCAUCACUGGCAGAGACUAUUCCUCUCUCAUGUUUUUCUCUUUAUUCAGUGCCAGUCCAUAUUCUGCUGCUACUUCCCUUACUCACCACUUUAACUGCAGCACUUUAUGUGAGGGGCACAAGUGAAGCAAGGAAUCUGUGCUGCUCUGUGAAUCAUCUGUCACAGGAAGGCUUAAAUGCGUGUUUCUUACCUGCCUGGAGGAAAAUGCAGUAAAUGCAUUUUGAGUGAGGGAGAGAAAGUUGUGUGUUCUUAAUAACUGGCAUAUUUAUUACGACUUAAACAGGAAAAUUGCAUAUUUGUGAAUUGAAAACCACAGGUGGAUGGAAUGAUCAGCUUUGUCUACAUGCAGAAUUACAACCAGGGCUAUGAGUAUGUGGUUCAUCAGUAAAACUAGUAGGAUAAAGCAGACCCAGAUUAAUCCUCUGGCUGUUCAUCAGUAACUGUAACAACAUGAGAAAAGUGCAUACCACUCUGGGCUUCAUUUUCCUCAUUGCUAAAAUACAGAUACUAAUCAUACACAUCAACAGAGUUUUAAUAAUAUUAAAUGAGCUAAUUACUAUAAAUUCUUUAGUUAGGAUCUGAUAUACAGAAAGCCCCUAUUACAUAUCAGCUGUGAUGCUGACAAUAAUAAUACCAACAAAAUCCAAAUGAGUAGUCAUAAGAUACUCAAAGAGCAAUUUUCCAAAAAGAAAAAUGAGAACUACGUGAAUGUAUGAAUACAAAUAAAAGACUGAAAUAUAUUAAAAUGAAUUCUGAGGUGCACAGAUAUUGAAAAGUUGGCUUUGAAAGCCACAAAACCCAGUGAAAUUGGUCUUUAUGGAGCCAGGCUAAAUGGCUCUCUGCAUUUUAGCUGGAUUCGCUGCCUUGUGUAAUACUGUGUUAGCCAUUUCUUAACCAUUAAUGAUUAAGAGGUUGGACAUUGCCUCAUGAAUCCACAUGGUUCAAACAAGUUCCAACACUUGGGAGCCCUUUGACCUCAGAAAAAAACUGUUUAAAUUCUCUGUGGAUAAGGUUUUCCAUUGCAGGAGUUCCUGCUGGGGUAUUAGGGGAUUGGCGAUCAGUGGCAUCUCUGCAGCAUCUGGACACAGAUUGGAUCCCCAGCUGGCACAGUGGAUUCAAGGAUCUGGUGUUGCUGCAGCUGCAGCAUAGGUCGCAACUGCUACUCAGAUCGAUACCUGGCCUGGAAACUCCAUAGGCCAUGGAGUGGCCAAAAAACAACAAAAAAAGACUUUCCAUUCUGAAUCAGGAGCAAAUUAUAUUAUUUUAUUAGCUAUUCCAUAUGGCUGCUUCUUAGGAUUUCAUGAACUUACUGUGCAAGCACUCAAAAUAGUGCAUGCCAUAUAGUAAGUAUUUAAUAAGAAUUAGCAAUUAUUAGUGGAUGAAAAAGAAAAUUCCAUCAGUUAUAGGAGCAAAAAUGACCUGGAUCCUCACACCGCAUGUUAUAGUUUCAAAUGAACAUUCAAUUCCAGUCAUUUGGGAACAGAACAUGAUCUUAUUCUGCGUACAUUAGAAUUUGGUGCCAAGAAUAAAAGGGGCUUAAAUAAAAUGGAGCUUUUUUAUUUUUCUUCUGAAGAUACAACAUAGUCCAGGAAGUUUCAGAAAGAAGAGAACUCAAAGGGAAAACAAAAGAACAUGUCUUUCAAGCUUGAAGAGAAUCACCUGUCAUAUGACACCUUUAUUGAGUCUUGACAACACUUUUUUUAAAUUCAAAUUCCAUUUUUUUAAUUUUUAAAUGAUUUUUAUUUUUUCCAUUAUAGUUGGUUUACAAUUUAUACUGUAUAGCAAAGUGACACAGUCACACACACACGUAUACAUUGUUUUUCUCACAUUAUCCUCCGUCAUGUUCCAUCAUAAGUGACUAGAUAUAGUCCCUUGUGCUAUACAGCAGGAUCGCAUUGCUUAUCCACUCCAAAUGCAAUAGUUUGCACCUAUUAACCCCAGACUCCCAGUCCAUCCCACUCCCUCCCCCUCCCCUUGGCAACCACAAGUCUAUUCUCCAAGUCCAUGAGUUUCUUUUCUGUGGAAAGGUUCAUUUGUGCUGUAUAUUAGAUUCCACAUAUAAGUGGUAUCUUAUGGUAUUUGUCUUUAUCUUUCUGACUUACUUCACUCAGGGUGAGAGUCUCUCAUUCCAUCUAUGUUGCUCCAAAUGGCAUUAGUGUGUUCUUUUCUAUGGUAGACCACGUUUUACAUGUAAGAAUUGUUUGGAAAAGCAUUACUACCCCAUUGAUCAUUUUAAAAUAUUGCAGAAAUAUAUGUCUCCUUCCUAAAGUUUUGGAUACCCAAUUACAGUUCUGUUUGCAGAAAUACAAAUUGUGCCUUCACCUCUAAAAACAGUAUGGUUUGUUUUAUCUUCUGUUUGAGAUUCUUCAAGAGCAGGAAGAUGAUACUAUAAUAACCGAAGUAUGUUACAUCUGAAAAAUGAAUAACAACUGUCAUUAUUUUACCACAUUUGCUGUGUUCUUUUUUGACUUAAGACAUCCCAAUGAAAAAUAGCCUUGUUAAAAACAAUAGCUUGCCAACUCCCGCUUUUUAUUUGGCCUGGUGUACAAGUAAUGGAGACUGCAAAAAGAAUGGGCAAUAGUAACUCUAGAAAGGGGAUUU